rnacentral:rRNA from 1 species
CCCUUAGAUGUUCUGGGCCGCACGCGCGCUACACUGAUGCAUUCAACGAGUCCAACCUUGACCGAGAGGUCCGGGUAAUCUUUGAAACUGCAUCGUGAUGGGGCUAGAUUAUUGCAAUUAUUAAUCUUCAACGAGGAAUGCCUAGUAAGCGCGAUUCAUCAAAUCGCGUUGAUUACGUCCCUGCCCUUUGUACACACCGCCCGUCGCUCCUACCGAUUGAGUGUGUUGGUGAGGAGUUUGGAUUGGCCUCGGAAGGUGGUUCGCCACCGUCCGUAGCUGAGAAGUUCUCCAAACCGCCCCACUUAGAGGAAGGAGAAGUCGUAACA